rnacentral:rRNA from 1 species
GAUGAACGCUGGCGGCGCGCCUAACACAUGCAAGUCGAACGAUUAAAGCACCUUCGGGUGUGUAUAAAGUGGCGAACGGCUGAGCAACACGUGGGCAACCUGCCCCUUUCAUUGGGAUAGCCACGGGAAACCGUGGAUAAUACCGAAUACUUCGAGACUUCCGCAUGGAAGACUCGAGAAAGCUCCGGCGGAGAGGGAUGGGCCCGCGGCCUGUUAGCUUGUUGGUGGGGUAACGGCCUACCAAGGCAAUGAUGGGUAGCUGGGUUGAGAGACCGACCAGCCAGAUUGGGACUGAGACACGGCCCAGACUCCUACGGGAGGCAGCAGUGGGGAAUCUUGCACAAUGGGCGAAAGCCUGAUGCAGCGACGCCGCGUGCGGGAUGAAGGCCUUCGGGUUGUAAACCGCUUUCAGCAGGGACGAGGCGAAAGUGACGGUACCUGCAGAAGAAGCCCCGGCUAACUACGUG